rnacentral:rRNA from 1 species
AGCAGCCGCGGUAAUUCCAGCUCCAAUAGCGUAUAUUAAAGUUGUUGCAGUUAAAAAGCUCGUAGUUGUAUUUCGGGAUCAAUUUAUCGGUCGUGCCUAUGGUAUGAACUGGUACAAUUGGUUUCUCCCUUCUGACGAAGCAUGAUGUCAUUAAUUUGGUGUCGUGGGGAAUCAGGACUGUUACUUUGAAAAAAUUAGAGUGUUUAAAGCAAGCAUUAGCUUGAAUACAUUAGCAUGGAAUAAUGAAAUAGGACGUUUGAUCCUAUUUCGUUGGUUUCUAGGAUCGACGUGAUGAUUAAUAGGGAUAGUUGGGGGCAUUAGUAUUCAAUUGUCAGAGGUGAAAUUCUUGGAUUUAUUGAAGACUAACUACUGCGAAAGCAUUUGCCAAGGAUGUUUUCAUUAAUCAAGAACGAAAGUUAGGGGAUCGAAGACGAUCAGAUACCGUCGUAGUCUUAACCAUAAACUAUGCCGACUAGGGAUCGGAUGAUGUUAAUUUUUUAAUGACUCA